rnacentral:sRNA from 1 species
GCUGGGUGUGGUGGCACACGCCUGUAAUCCCAGCAGCUUGGGAGGCAGGGGCAGGAGGAUCACGAGUUGAAAGCGAGCCUCAGCAAUUUAGCAAGGCACUAAACAACUCCAUGAGACCCUGUCUCUC